UUAAUUAAUGUUUAACAGUGUCUUGAAAAAUGAUGCUAUAUUGAUAUGCUGUAUCCUAUCUAGACUUUACCACCUCUUUCUGGUUUCCUUGGUAACACUAAACAAUAAUUUGAACAGUAACAAGAUUGAAUACUGUUGUUUUUAUCUCAUGUAAACACCACACCAGAUUAACGGUGAACUUGAAACAUGUGGAGAUAUUGUGAACGACAUAAAAGGUAAGAGUGUAGUUGUAUUGCAGUUGUUUGGUGUUUAGAUCCAGGUUUGCUUUGUUGUGGCCUGCGGUAAGAGGUUAUGCUUUCCUCUCCAAGCCUUUUUGAGAAUUACUAUUGGGGCUAUUAUGUAUAAUUUAUUUCCCACUAGAGUUGCAUUUUGUACAUCCAUGCCUCACUUUUCCUCCUCUUUAUGCCUCUCGUCUGUCACUUUAUGAAAUGGAUGAUUAUUCUGAUCAUUUGUUAUGUUCUGUCUCCAUUUGAAGUCUUAUUUUAUUGUACUCUGUGCCUUAGAAUUUGAAUAAUUCACACUAUUUUGUCUAGGUUGCUUUAGUUGUGUCAUAAACACCACAAACAAUUACUACAGCUAAAAUAUAAUUUGAUUUACUUAUGGAUAGUUUUGCAUUUACCUGUCUUGGCUGUUUGCUUCUCCUCUCAAACUAGAGCUUUGACAUCUAGCCAUCUUUCAAAGGGUACAUGUGAAUUAACCAGACUCUGAAAGGCUGCCAGCGUGGAUGCUGAUGCCAGACAAUACGAGUGAAGAUUAUUUGUCACCAUCUAUUAGUGUUCAAGGACAAGAAUAAACCUUAAAGUUAGUCUUGAGGGUCUUAUAAGCCACGCAACAUGGAAAAACCCAACGGUUCUACAUUUCUACCAAGGAUAUGUACCAGAAAUCAUGAUCACUUUCAAUGGAACACCAGAGCAACCGCCCACAGGAUCCCCACCAGAAUCAAUCAAAUAUCCAGAGAGCUUCAAAGGUUUGGACUGGAUGCUUGUUUUAUCCAAACUGUAACGAUGACAGAAGUGUUUUGUGGAAAGAAGAGGUAUAAAUGCUCAGGCUGCCUGCGUUACUAUGAGGAUCUGGAGCGUCUGAUGGCACACAUAAUGCAUGGCUGGAAAGAAGGAUACAGUUGUAGAGUUUUCUACCGUAAGCUGAAGGAUAUGAAGGACUGUCAGGUGUUGCUAACCAGGUAUGAAGAAGAACCCUCCGAAUUCGAACCUCAGCUUAGUGGAUCUUCGAAUCUGAUACCGAAUACCAGAAAUGAGAAACUGGACAUGGUCCUCAGGUGGAUACAGCAGUGCAUGUGCUGUUGUUGGAAGUGAUUUCAUUAAAACAGUUAUGGUGCA